ACAAAAAGGUUUUCGUAGGUGACCUGCGGAGGUCAUUACCGAGAGAGGGAUAUACGCUUCCGGCCGAAUCCCGGGGGGCUGCGCCCCUCACCUCUUCAACCCUGUGUCUACCAACCGCUGUUGCUUCGGCGAGCGUCGGGGCGUCCGCGCCCCGGCCCCGGCCUCGGUCGGUGAGCUCUCGCCAGAGGCCCGUCUUUAUUCUGUUUUGCAGUGACGUCCGAGAAUACCCAUAUAAUCAAUCAAAACUUUCAACAACGGAUCUCUUGGUUCUGGCAUCGAUGAAGAACGCAGCGAAAUGCGAUAAGUAAUGUGAAUUGCAGAAUUCAGUGAAUCAUCGAAUCUUUGAACGCACAUUGCGCCCCUUGGUAUUCCGGGGGGCAUGCCUGUUCGAGCGUCAUUGCAACCCUCAAGCUUUGCUUGGUAUUGGGCGCUCGCCUCUCCGUCCGGGGGAGGCGUGCCCGCAAACUAGUGGCGGUCCAGGGAGACUUCAAGCGCAGUAGAAUCAUUCCGCUUUCGAGGUGUCGCCUGUGGCCGGCCGUAAAACCCCCAACUUUCAAUGAUUGACCUCGGAUCAGGUAGGGAUACCCGCUGAACUUAAGCAUAUCAAUAAGCGGAAGAACU
rnacentral:rRNA from 1 species